rnacentral:misc_RNA from 1 species
AAGUCGUAACAAGGUUUCCGUAGCCUCCGAUGAAAGUCCGGGGUAAAAAAAAACCGAACAACUGUUAACAAUGGAUAUCUUGGUUCUC